rnacentral:lncRNA from 1 species
UCCAGCUCUUAUUAGUAUUUGUGUAAGAACUGAGGGCUUAUGAAGCCCUUUCACUCAGCCUCUCUUCUUUUUCCCUUAACUGAUGAGAGAAGUUUGCCCUGGUCAAGCAGGCCCGGGUUAAAACCCCAACUUUGUCACCCUGCGGCUCCAUCAGAUUUCCCAAGUUAAAACCCAAGUCACCCAUAUGGAGAAACUGAGACUUGGAGAAGUUGAGUUAUCUGUGCAAGGUUGCACCUCCAGGAAGUGACAAAGCCUUGACUUCACUUUCAUGCUCUUAACCCUUAGGAUGGGAGGCACCUCCCGGGGUCUGACUAGGAGCAGAGGGUCAUGUUUUGGAGCUCUUUUGGAAGUAGAAUUCCUGUUUGGUCUCAGUUUUCUUCUCUCUCAGAUGAAGGCAUUGUGGGAGGUGGGCUUCCAUGCAUCACCCCUAGUGAGGAACAUGCCAACAGAAGGCCCUCAAGGACCAAGAACAACAACAACAACAACAACAACAACAACAAAUGGCCUCCUGAACAUGUCCUUGGACGUGCCUCAAAAUCUUGCCUCCUGUCUUCCCUGUCUCCAUCUGCCUGUGCUUCCCACAUUGUAAGCCCCAGGAGGGAGGUGGGCUGUACUCACCUGUGCCUCACAUUGCCCAUGGCUCCUAGAAAGUUCUUGAAAAUGUCAGUUGAGCAAAUAAAUGAACGGACGACUCCCAUAGGGUUAUCUGUUACUUAUUCAUUGUGUUUCAUUC